rnacentral:rRNA from 1 species
GACGAACGCUGGCGGCGUGCUUAACACAUGCAAGUCGAACGGUAAGGCCCUUCGGGGUACACGAGUGGCGAACGGGUGAGUAACACGUGGUGAUCUGCCCUGCACUUCGGGAUAAGCCUGGGAAACUGGGUCUAAUACCGGAUAGGACUCCUGGCUUCAUGGUUGGGGUGUAAAGCUUUUGCGGUGUGGGAUGGGCCCGCGGCCUAUCAGCUUGUUGGUGGGGUAAUGGCCUACCAAGGCGACGACGGGUAGCCGGCCUGAGAGGGUGACCGGCCACACUGGGACUGAGAUACGGCCCAGACUCCUACGGGAGGCAGCAGUGGGGAAUAUUGCACAAUGGGCGCAAGCCUGAUGCAGCGACGCCGCGUGAGGGAUGACGGCCU